GGCAUUGUAGUUAAGCACUAGGACUCUAGAGCCGGAUGCCACAGGUCUAAAUCCUACCUCAGCCAUGCUGGCUGGGAAACCUUUGGUGCCUCUUUUGGCAGACUCUCAACCAGACCCUGUAAGUAAGGGGACCUUAGGAGACAGCCUAAUGGGAUUGGCACAGGACACACUUCCCCACAGGGCUCGUGCCAAGUUACCACUGACAUCAAUCUUCAGCAGUGAUUGUGCUGCUGCUCAAACCAGACCCUGGAUGCCAUGACAGUGCGUCAGGAAUGGAGCUAAGAGGAGCCCCUGGGCCAUGAUCACUAAGCUUUGCAGAAAUACAGCUGGAUUGGACAUUUUGCUACUUGAGGAGGACAGGGUGAGAAGGUGCCAUCUAUGGAACAGGAAGCAGGCCCUCGCCAGACUGAAUCUGCCGGUGCCUUGAUCUUAUACUUCCCAACCUCCAGAACUGUAAGAAAUAAAUUUCUGUUGUUUGUAAGCUACUGAGUUUGUGGUAUUUUGCUACAGCAGCCUAAACAGACUAAAUAAGUGGCAUCGUUCUAGUUCUUUAAAAAUUCCCUGGGAAUUAGGAGCUUUAGAAUAUGGAAGGCAGGAAGACAGGGCAGAAAGAGCACUGGACGCAGUGAGGUCAGGACACCUGCUGCUACAAAUCUGCUGCACGACCUUGAUCUCUUAAGUCACAGCUGCUCCAUACCUCAGCUUCCUCAUAUUUCUGUAAAACAGUGUUCAACUCUAAAUGCUGAUGGAUUUGUUUAGGUGUCACAGUUCCCAAAGCAGUUUAAAAUGUCCUUUUGAGAUAUUUUGUUUGCUUCGUAUCUCGUGGGAAGCCUUCUCUUUCAAUGCUAUGUAACCCAUUCCACCUAAAUAAUGAUAACGAAAUCGUGACUGAUAUCCGGGAGAUACUUUAAGAGAUCUGAGUUCUUGAGGUCGCUUCUGGCCUAAAGACCCAAGGGAAGCACCUGACUAUAGGAUGGAUAGAGACAGCCAUUCCCUCCCAGUGAGAGAAACACCACGCUCCCCUCCUCCCCCACAGACGUAGGCUUGUGCAAAACAAGGCAGAUCAAUGUUCUUUUCUGCGAGAAAUGUCAUUUGAGGAUGCCUAGGUGUGGGUAACGCUUUUGCCUGCUGACUCACUGCCCGUGGCAGGCCAUCAAAGCGCUGCACACACCACAGCUUCGUGCUUUUGGGGGCAGGGUGCAGUGAGUGAGCUGCUUCUGUGGUUGAGCUGCGCUUUCCUAAGGGCUGGGACUGUGCCAAGCCCACAGCUCGGGAAGGGACCACACUUCCGCAAGCCGGGUGAACUGGAUCUGGGGGCUGAGGGGGCCGAAGGAUCAUCGUCCUUUUGCUCUGGAGAGGACGAGCACCGACCUAUCUAGAAGGCAGCGUUGUACAAAAAUGAUCCAUUCACUCUUGUACCUGGAUCAUUGCAGGAGUCCUGGGAAAAGCUCUCAGCCCAAAGAUCCUUUUGAACUCCAGCCUAGAAAGGUGUGCCAUACUCUCCAGCUGGGGUUGGGUGCCCUUAUUUAACCAGGAGCUAGGGGAGGUUGUCACCUGGAAUGGCUGUUCUCUGCUCACGACUCUACCAUGUGCACUGUGCCUCCCUGUAAACACGGCCCUCUCUUUGUGAGUCUACAGAGCCACACCUGUCUGGGGCAGGGGGUUGGGGGGAAGGCCUGAUUCCAUCUCUGAACUCUCCCCUCACCAGCAGGUCUGGCUGGGACCUGGCCGGUGAAAUGACCUCUUUGUGGCCUGCCUACGCUAGCGGGUCCAAAUCAGGAAUUCCAGUCCCUGGGAAAACAGUCACACCUUAUCUAAAGAGGUCAGCCUGCUCGUUAGGAAUGCUGCCAAUGCCAGUGAUUCAUAGGCACACAUCCCAGCUUCAGAAAACUGCAAGUCUGGCU